AAAAAAAAAGGCAAAUAACUGCAAAUAAAAAGUUGAUUUUUUUUUGUCUGAUCUUUCCUAUAUGAUAUGUACCGGGUUGGUGUGUGUCCAGGACUUUGUCAAGACUGUCUCACCCAAUUACGAUCCUAACCAUGAAAUACUAUAUAUUCCAAAUGGCUUUGAAUCUACUAAAAAUUGUUGAACUUGUUUAAACACAAGUAGAUUUUCCUCUUGACUGAGGUUAUUUUGCCAAACAGGAGUGUUUUAUAUUUUAUGGGAACGGAAUAGUUUCUAUUGUACGUUUUCGGACAAGGGAGUACACUCGAGAAGACAAUGCUUACUGCUUUCGAUUCUACCACAAGUACAGUUUUUAAUUUCUUCAAGAUUUCUCUUAAUACAUGUUCGUUUAGAUUAUUGCAAUCCAUCCGAAGUCUGGCAUGAAGUAUUUGUCCUUUCCUUUCUCCAUAUAAAUAAUAAUUUGGUAUUUUACUUAAAUUUUGAUUAAGGUAACGUUUAAGUGUAAACUUAGAUGGGACCAAAUCUGAUAUCGUCCAGAAAAGCAUUUCAGGAUCGAAAUGACUGACGUAAGAAAAUAUUUUCUGAUACAAUGCUGUUCUACACUUUAUAUGUUGUGUGUCAUUCGUUCGUCUUUUGUCAUAGUAAUGAAUAUUAAACAGUUGUGAGGAAAAUAUCGCUUAAAUAAUCAGGGGUCUUAUUGUGAAACAUUUCAUGUUUUUUACCGUCGUCUUUCUGAUAGUAACUCCCAUCCUGUUUCAUUGUAUAAUUUGUUUAUGUGUGAUAGCUUAGUACCGCCAGUAACUAGCAUAGCCGCUUCAAGUUGCAUAUUUUCUAGUUUAUCACUUUUGAUAAGAGCCAAAGUGGUCGACUGGUCUAGCGCGCCGAUCAUAGUGCAAUGCAAUUUGGUACCACGAUAUCUCAGUUCGAAUUCUGGUGAGGGAAAAACAAAAAAUUUGCUAACGCAAAUUUACAGUUCUAACAUUGUUGGGUUGAUGUUUAGAAUAUUUAAAUACGUCUGAACGAGUGACAACUCUACAACAGAUUUAUCCAUCGGAUCGCUAGCAGUGAUGGUGAUACAAUAUAUACAAACUAAUCUGUAAUCACGAUGCCUUUAUAAAUGACUUGUAAAUUGGGAUGUCCUCUCUGGAAAUGUUCUUACUUUGUUUGUUCUAAGUUGUUUGAACAUUGUUAUGUUGCUACUAUAUUAUCGCUUUAGCAGUUCUAGCAUUGUCGUCAUAAACUUAUUGAUCGUUAUUGCGAUGAAACCAUAUUCACAAUGGAAAUAGAUUUUUUUCGCAGUGUCAUAGAUUCGUCGUUUGUCUUACCCUUACUUGAUAUUGUAUGAGAAAUUCUGAAAGUUAUCCAUCAUGUUUAUUUAUUGGUCUUUGUAAAAGGAAUUUUGAAAAUCUGUUCAUCGGUCUGUUCAUAGUUCCCUUUACUUCCUGAAUACUUUUAGCGAAGAUUUGAUAGUUUAAUAAUUUCCUACAACCGGUAUGCAUAUUCGGAAUGGCGCUUUUUUUCUGUCAAAAAUUUUCAAAAACAAAAAACAAUCAAAAGUAUUGUAGGAGCAUGCCAAGGCCUGGCAAGGUGUCCAACACAAAGUUAAAGUGCGUGUAUUUACUUUAGCUAAGAUGUUCAACGGCCUUCAACUUUUUUGAUAAAGUUUAAUUGCUGUCUUUUCGACACGAUUCAUGUUUCAAAUUCUGUUUUCUAUAUUUUGAAAUUGAUUUUAACACAAGAGAGUAAUAUAAUUGCACAUAAAACAAGUUUUUUAGGAACUAAAUUUAAGUGUCAGGAGAUUGUCAGAAUGCAGGAUUCAAGUUGCA
rnacentral:lncRNA from 1 species